UUAAGCAUAUCAAUAAGCGGAGGAAAAGAAACCAACAGGGAUUGCCUUAGUAACGGCGAGUGAAGCGGCAAAAGCUCAAAUUUGAAAUCUGGCGUCUUUGGCGUCCGAGUUGUAAUUUGAAGAUGGCAACUUUGGGUCUGGUGCUUGUCUAAGUUCCUUGGAACAGGACGUCAUAGAGGGUGAGAAUCCCGUAUGAUGAGAGAGCCAGAUCUUUGUAAAGUGCCUUCGAAGAGUCGAGUUGUUUGGGAAUGCAGCUCUAAGUGGGUGGUAAAUUCCAUCUAAAGCUAAAUAUUGGCGAGAGACCGAUAGCGAACAAGUACAGUGAUGGAAAGAUGAAAAGAACUUUGAAAAGAGAGUGAAAAAGUACGUGAAAUUGUUGAAAGGGAAGGGUUUGAGAUCAGACAUGGUAUUUUGUACACCUUCUCUCUCGGGAGGGGGCCUCUGCAGUUUACUGGGCCAGCAUCAGUUUGGACGGUAGGAUAAUGACUAGGGAAUGUGGCUCUUCUUCGGGAGAGUGUUAUAGCCUUGGUUGAUACUGCCAGUCUAGACUGAGGACCGCGUCUUUGACAAGGAUGUUGGCAUAAUGAUCUUAAGCCACCCGU
rnacentral:rRNA from 1 species